rnacentral:rRNA from 1 species
UUAAGCGACUAAGCGUACACGGUGGAUGCCCUGGCAGUCAGAGGCGAUGAAGGACGUGCUAAUCUGCGAAAAGCGUCGGUAAGGUGAUAUGAACCGUUAUAACCGGCGAUGUCCGAAUGGGGAAACCCAGUGCAAUUCGUUGCACUAUCGUUAACUGAAUACAUAGGUUAACGAGGCGAACCGGGGGAACUGAAACAUCUAAGUACCCCGAGGAAAAGAAAUCAACCGAGAUUCCCCCAGUAGCGGCGAGCGAACGGGGAGCAGCCCAGAGUCUGAAUCAGCUUGUGUGUUAGUGGAACGGUCUGGAAAGUCCGACGGUACAGGGUGAUAGUCCCGUACACCAAAAUGCACAGGCUGUGAACUCGAAGAGUAGGGCGGGACACGUGGUAUCCUGUCUGAAUAUGGGGGGACCAUCCUCCAAGGCUAAAUACUCCUGACUGACCGAUAGUGAACCAGUACCGUGAGGGAAAGGCGAAAAGAACCCCGGCGAGGGGAGUGAAAAAGAACCUGAAACCGUGUACGUACAAGCAGUGGGAGCACCUUCGGGUGUGACUGCGUACCUUUUGUAUAAUGGGUCAGCGACUUAUAUUCUGUAGCAAGGUUAACCGUAUAGGGGAGCCGCAGGGAAACCGAGUCUUAACUGGGCGUUAAGUUGCAGGGUAUAGACCCGAAACCCGGUGAUCUAGCCAUGGGCAGGUUGAAGGUUGGGUAACACUAACUGGAGGACCGAACCGACUAAUGUUGAAAAAUUAGCGGAUGACUUGUGGCUGGGGGUGAAAGGCCAAUCAAACCGGGAGAUAGCUGGUUCUCCCCGAAAGCUAUUUAGGUAGCGCCUCGUGAAUUCAUCUUCGGGGGUAGAGCACUGUUUCGGCUAGGGGGUCAUCCCGACUUACCAACCCGAUGCAAACUACGAAUACCGAAGAAUGUUAUCACGGGAGACACACGGCGGGUGCUAACGUCCGUCGUGAAGAGGGAAACAACCCAGACCGCCAGCUAAGGUCCCAAAGUCAUGGUUAAGUGGGAAACGAUGUGGGAAGGCACAGACAGCCAGGAUGUUGGCUUAGAAGCAGCCAUCAUUUAAAGAAAGCGUAAUAGCUCACUGGUCGAGUCGGCCUGCGCGGAAGAUGUAACGGGGCUAAACCAUGCACCGAAGCUGCGGCAGCGACACUAUGUGUUGUUGGGUAGGGGAGCGUUCUGUAAGCCUGCGAAGGUGUGCUGUGAGGCAUGCUGGAGGUAUCAGAAGUGCGAAUGCUGACAUAAGUAACGAUAAAGCGGGUGAAAAGCCCGCUCGCCGGAAGACCAAGGGUUCCUGUCCAACGUUAAUCGGGGCAGGGUGAGUCGACCCCUAAGGCGAGGCCGAAAGGCGUAGUCGAUGGGAAACAGGUUAAUAUUCCUGUACUUGGUGUUACUGCGAAGGGGGGACGGAGAAGGCUAUGUUAGCCGGGCGACGGUUGUCCCGGUUUAAGCAUGUAGGCUGAUUAUCCAGGCAAAUCCGGAUAAUCAAGGCUGAGGUGUGAUGACGAGGCACUACGGUGCUGAAGUAACAAAUGCCCUGCUUCCAGGAAAAGCCUCUAAGCAUCAGGUAACAUCAAAUCGUACCCCAAACCGACACAGGUGGUCAGGUAGAGAAUACCAAGGCGCUUGAGAGAACUCGGGUGAAGGAACUAGGCAAAAUGGUGCCGUAACUUCGGGAGAAGGCACGCUGGUGUGUAGGUGAAGUCCCUGCGGAUGGAGCUGAGACCAGUCGAAGAUACCAGCUGGCUGCAACUGUUUAUUAAAAACACAGCACUGUGCAAACACGAAAGUGGACGUAUACGGUGUGACGCCUGCCCGGUGCCGGAAGGUUAAUUGAUGGGGUUAUCCGUAAGGAGAAGCUCUUGAUCGAAGCCCCGGUAAACGGCGGCCGUAACUAUAACGGUCCUAAGGUAGCGAAAUUCCUUGUCGGGUAAGUUCCGACCUGCACGAAUGGCGUAAUGAUGGCCAGGCUGUCUCCACCCGAGACUCAGUGAAAUUGAACUCGCUGUGAAGAUGCAGUGUACCCGCGGCAAGACGGAAAGACCCCGUGAACCUUUACUAUAGCUUGACACUGAACAUUGAGCCUUGAUGUGUAGGAUAGGUGGGAGGCUUUGAAGCGUGGACGCCAGUCUGCGUGGAGCCAACCUUGAAAUACCACCCUUUAAUGUUUGAUGUUCUAACGUUGGCCCCUUACCGGGGUUGCGGACAGUGUCUGGUGGGUAGUUUGACUGGGGCGGUCUCCUCCCAAAGCGUAACGGAGGAGCACGAAGGUUAGCUAAUCCUGGUCGGACAUCAGGAGGUUAGUGCAAUGGCAUAAGCUAGCUUGACUGCGAGCGUGACGGCGCGAGCAGGUGCGAAAGCAGGUCAUAGUGAUCCGGUGGUUCUGAAUGGAAGGGCCAUCGCUCAACGGAUAAAAGGUACUCCGGGGAUAACAGGCUGAUACCGCCCAAGAGUUCAUAUCGACGGCGGUGUUUGGCACCUCGAUGUCGGCUCAUCACAUCCUGGGGCUGAAGUAGGUCCCAAGGGUAUGGCUGUUCGCCAUUUAAAGUGGUACGCGAGCUGGGUUUAGAACGUCGUGAGACAGUUCGGUCCCUAUCUGCCGUGGGCGCUGGAGAAUUGAGGGGGGCUGCUCCUAGUACGAGAGGACCGGAGUGGACGCAUCACUGGUGUUCGGGUUGUCAUGCCAAUGGCACUGCCCGGUAGCUAAAUGCGGAAGAGAUAAGUGCUGAAAGCAUCUAAGCACGAAACUUGCCCCGAGAUGAGUUCUCCCUGAGACUUUAAGUCUCCUGAAGGAACGUUGAAGACGACGACGUUGAUAGGCCGGGUGUGUAAGCGCAGCGAUGCGUUGAGCUAACCGGUACUAAUGAACCGUGAGGCUUAACCUU